rnacentral:lncRNA from 1 species
GCCCACGUUGCAGAAUCAUGAGCAAAUAUGUUGUGGAUUGGCUGUAACUCUGCUCUGGGAUCCAGGCUGAAGGAGCAGGCUCUAUCUGGAACAUUACUAGUCUCCAGGCAGAAGAAAAAGAGACAAUGGAAUGGAUGAUUGAAUGGAUGAAUGAACUCCACAGGAAGAUGAGGAAAGCCUUUAUGGAUGGAGUGAGCUUGCAGCAGAGUCUCAAAGGGGGGCCUGGCCACCAGAGUCCCAAGCUACCAAGAUGUCAAGUAAAGAAGAACUGAAAGCCAACUGCUGGAUGCAGCAGUGAGUGGGGGUCACAGUGGCCUUUGCCAGAACUGUUCCAGUGGAGGAGUAGAGGAAGAGAGAAAACCACAGGAGCAGGCAUCGCAAGCUCAUGCUCCACCCACACGUCCCCUUUCUCCUUUAGUCCUGUGACCCAUGUGCUUGCUCUCUUUCUCUCUCAAAGGAGAUCCAAAUUUAAAAAUAUGGAGCCAAGGGAAUCAGUUCCUUUGCGAACACACUGAACGUUAGUUUUCUUCUUCUCUUUUGCAAAAACUUCUUAUUUCACAAAAUACUCAAACAAAUAGACAAAGUACAGUGAAGUCCAGGUAGAUAUCAUCCACCUUCAGCAAUGAUCAAUCCAUGGCCAAUCUUUCAUCUCAACACUCGUAUCCUCAUUCUUGUGGAGCAAAUGCCAGACAUUCUUUCAUCCAUCAGUAUGUCAAUAUGUAUCUCUGAAAUAGAAGGACUUUUUAUAAAACAUAAUCAUAAUAUAAUUAAUAUUCAUUCCCCAAUUGUUUUGUUAUUGUCUUUUACAGUUUAAUUUUUGUUUUGUUUUGUUUCGUUUCUUUUUGAGACAGGAUCUUGCUCUGUUACCCAGGCUGGAGUGCAGUGGUGCGAUCAUGACCCAUUGCAGCCUCUACCUCCUGGGCUCAGGUGAUCUUCCCACCUCAGCCUCCCAAGUAGCUGGGACUACAGGUGCAUGCCACCAUGUCCAGCUACUUUUUUGUAUUUUUGUAGAGAUGAGGUCUCACCAUGUUGCCCAGGCCAGUCUCAAACUCCUGGGCUCAAGUGAUCCACUUGCCCCAGCCUUCCAAAGUGCUAGGAUUACAGGCAUGAUCCAUAAUACCCAGCUACGGUUUGUUUUCAUUUGGAUGCUAAUAAGACCCAUACAUUCCAUUUGGUUGAUCUAUCUCUUCAAUUUCUUUUAAAUUUAUAAUUUUAUAAGGUCCCCUUCCACAUUUUUCUUUGUGGAAGAGGAGAAAAGACCCUUGUUCUCUGGAUCACUCUGUGGUUAAGGGGGUAGGUCCUCAAAUCAGAUGCCCUGGUUCUAUUUUGCUUUCUUGUUUUUUAGUACUUUUUGUUUGUUACCUACACACAGAAAAGUACAUGAAUCAUAAGUGAGCAGCUUGAUGAAUUUUCAUAAGUGAACACACCUGUGUAACCACCACCCAGCUCAGGAACAGGGCAUCACUGGCACCCAAGAACCCCCUCUCAGGCCCUUUCCCAGUCUCUACCACCUCACAAAGGUCAGGUGACUUUUUCACACCACAGCCAUGUGUUACCU